rnacentral:rRNA from 1 species
UAGGGAAUCUUCCACAAUGGACGCAAGUCUGAUGGCGCAACGCCGCGUGAGUGAAGAAGGUUUUCGGAUCGUAAAGCUCUGUUGUUGGUGAAGAAGGAUAGAGGCAGUAACUGGUCUUUAUUUGACGGUAAUCAACCAGAAAGUCACGGCUAACUACGUGCCAGCAGCCGCGGUAAUACGUAGGUGGCAAGCGUUGUCCGGAUUUAUUGGGCGUAAAGCGAGCGCAGGCGGAAUGAUAAGUCUGAUGUGAAAGCCCACGGCUCAACCGGGGAACUGCAUCGGAAACUGUCAUUCUUGAGUGCAGAAGAGGAGAGUGGAAUUCCAUGUGUAGCGGUGGAAUGCGUAGAUAUAUGGAAGAACACCAGUGGCGAAGGCGGCUCUCUGGUCUGCAACUGACGCUGAGGCUCGAAAGCAUGGGUAGCGAACAGG